AGAUUGAACGCUGGCGGCAGGCCUAACACAUGCAAGUCGAGCGGCAGCACGGGUACUUGUACCUGGUGGCGAGCGGCGGACGGGUGAGUAAUGCCUAGGAAUCUGCCUGGUAGUGGGGGAUAACGCUCGGAAACGGACGCUAAUACCGCAUACGUCCUACGGGAGAAAGCAGGGGACCUUCGGGCCUUGCGCUAUCAGAUGAGCCUAGGUCGGAUUAGCUAGUUGGUGAGGUAAUGGCUCACCAAGGCGACGAUCCGUAACUGGUCUGAGAGGAUGAUCAGUCACACUGGAACUGAGACACGGUCCAGACUCCGUAGGGAGCAGCAGGUGGGGAAUAGUUGGACAAUGGGACGAAAGCCUG
rnacentral:rRNA from 1 species